AAAGUUAUAGUUGGCUUUGGCUUAGUUUGGCAUUAAUGUCUAUCUAACGCUAUUAGAUAAAAUGGAGUUGAGAAAAAAGCAUAUAGGAAUAUAUUUCUGCGUUCUCCGGUGGGACUGCAAAAAAUAUAUCNUUAAAUUUAAGAAAAGUAAUUUAUUAUAAUAUUUAAAUAUAAUUUAUUAUAAAUUUUAUUAUAAUAUUUAAAUAUAAAUAAUAUGUAUUAAUAUAGUAAAAUUAAUAAUUUUACAAUAAAAAUAAUGUAUUAUAAUAUAUAACAUAUUAUAUUUAUAUAAUUUAGUUUUAAUUCAAUUUAUAAUUUUAAUUAAGUUUGAAAUUAAGCAUUGGAAUAGUGCUAUUCCACCAAAAUGAUGGAAUAGCAAAUCCCUUGCUAUUCUGGGAUAACCGGGAAUAGCAAGGUUUGACCGGGAUAAAAUAUCCUGGCCAAAUUUCACCCUAUUUGGCGGAAUAGCGGGGAUAACUUUUGUUAUCCCCGCUUAUCCCUCCAACCAAACGGGGCCUUAGACUUUAUUCUGUGCUCAAACAUUUUAUUAAUAGUGCAAUUUUUCGUGUUUCGGGGCUCCGAUGCAGCGCACAGAAUAGAGAGGCUCGCGUUGGUAAGGAUAGAGGUCGGAGAGGGAGAGGGAGGGGGAGGAGGGGGUCAAGGGAAGAGGAAAAAGAAAAGAAAGAAGAUGAGGUGAUAAGAGUUGGAGAAUAGUGCAAUUUUCUCUGAAAUAGCAUAAUUUUCGUCGAAAGAGUUGCAACUUUUAUUUUAAAGAGUAUAAUUUUCAUCUCAAAUAAUACAAUAUUUAUAUUAAAUAGUGCAUUUUUUUUGUAAAACAGAGCAAUUAUUUUUUAACAGU
rnacentral:lncRNA from 1 species